GGACGGGCACCGCCUAAUCGCCUGACGGCGCCUGCAGAGGUGCUCGACGGCGAGCCGGGGACCCACCGCAGUCCUGGGGUGAGUUCUCCUGUAGGGCCGGUUCGCCGGUGCGCAGGGGAUAGGGCCAGUCUUCCCAGCCCGAACCCGUCAGCUAACUCGGUAGGCGGUUGCAGAGGAAGAAA
rnacentral:sRNA from 2 species